CUCGUCCGGCAACUUUCCCGGCGACUUUUCUGAGAUUUCCCAUGAUCAUCAAUGAAAUCCGCGACACCGUAAUCAAGAGAUUAGUCGAUAAAGAUGUUGUAUACGAAGUUGGAUCAUCCUGGUUCUACUUUGUAUCCUGAGGUUGCAGAUGGCUGGUCUUUUUAAGGACUUACAAGCAAUGUUUUUUGGAAAUCCACUUAAUGACUUGAAGAUGUGAAACUUUGAUGUUGAUUGGUGAAAAUAACCAGGCCACCUCACAAAUUCAGAACCAUCUAUGAAGGAGAUGCCUGUGAUAUAUUUGUUUGUCCCCUCAGGUGAAGUUGACUAAGAUAAACCCUGAAACCACGGUAGAAGGCUCUCCCUUUCCCAAGAGCAAGCGGUGGAUGGUCUUGAUUGAUGCUGCAAAGGGUUGUGCUACACUCCAAUAAAAGGCGAAUGAGUUUGUUUAGUGAGUACUCAGAUGCAGCUAAAUGCCUCAAGGAUCAAAGGUCUGCUAGCACAGGAUGAUAUUGUUAAUUCCAUGUAAGAUAAAGCAGCAAAAGAGCUUCUGAAUGUGAGCCGUGAUCAGUAUUAAUACCAACAGCUUACAAUGGAUUUGAUUGGUCAGGUUUCUACUUGAACAAAAAUGAAUGGUCUUCUUUAGUACCUAAGAUUAUUUAGGUGGGUUUUAAUCAUAAAUCAUAGGCUAUAGUGUGUUUGGUCAUCUUUUUUAUAUCUUGUGAGAAAGGCCAAUAAGUUACAGAAGAGAAACGAUGUUGAAUAGAAAUAAUUUGUGUGCUUGGUGUUUAGAACGGUCUUAAAAAAAGCAAAUAUGGAAAUGGAGUUCUGUUGCAGCUCAGAGGAAGUGGUGUUAGCAUCUCGUGAUGGGAAGUUUGUUGUGUGAGAACACACUUGAUGCACGAUGGGAUGUUGCAUUCUGUAUGAAGCUUCCGAAGAUUCGUAGGAUACUGUUUGGUCAAGUUGUGAUUCUUUUGUACUCACAGCCAACAAAAUUGUGUUUGUUCACAUACUUUGCUGCGAACCCAACCAAACUGCGUUUUGUUUUCCAUCUUCUUCCAUUUGUUUUGUGGCUAUGAAAAUCAUAAAUAUAUGUUGUUUAUUAUAGAGUUUUGGCUUGA